rnacentral:rRNA from 1 species
UACGUAGGGGGCAAGCGUUAUCCGGAUUUACUGGGUGUAAAGGGAGCGCAGACGGCAGUGCAAGUCUGGAGUGAAAGCCCGGGGCCCAACCCCGGAACUGCUCUGGAAACUGUGCGGCUAGAGUACUGGAGGGGCAGGCGGAAUUCCUAGUGUAGCGGUGAAACGCGUAGAUAUUAGGAGGAACACCAGUGGCGAAGGCGGCCUGCUGGACAGUAACUGACGUUGAGGCUCGAAAGCGUGGGGAGCAAACAGG